rnacentral:lncRNA from 1 species
GAUAAGGUGUUAAUUGCCAAUAAAGGAAAUCUAUUGGGAAGGUCUGGGUUUAAUUUGAGUUUGUAUUAUAUAAAAAAAAAAAAAAAAAAAAAAAAACUCCCAAUAUUCCUCUGAAAAGACCGAAGUAAUUUUUUGGAAUAAAUGGUAAUUAGUUUGGCAUCUGAUUUUAAUGGUGCUAAAGAAUAUAACUUUACUAUUCUGAGAGACUUUAAUUUUUUUCAGAACCAAAGGUGGUGGUAUAUACCUUUCAUUCCAGUACUUCAGAUGCAAAGGAAGACAUAUUUUUACGAGUUCAAGGCCAACUUAUGUCUAUAUGGCCAGCUAGUGCUACAGAGUAUACCUUUUCUCCAAAAAAAAUUUCAACUGGGUAAAAUUAUUUUAGAAGGAGGCAAUUUUUAUAAAUGAACACACAAUUGACACAUAUCUAAUUUUUAUCUAGUCAUCAAUUACAUCCUGUAUGGUAUGAUACUCUGUAUACAAGUUAUAGAAUUCAUAGGAUGGUCCUUUCAGAUGUCUACCUUUAUAUCCUCUAAAUAUGUACAACUUAGGCAGAAGUUAAUCCUCUGAAAAGCAGCAAGCCCAAGCUCUUGCUUUCUAAUGUAAAUCAAUAACUAUUGAUGACUUAAGGAAAUUUGUAAGUUGCCAAGUACAAAAACUCAGCAGCUGAAAUUUAAACAAAGAGACCAUCUCUAAAUAGCAUUUCUUGCUCUGAUGGUUCUCAUGUGGUAUAAUUAAAAAAAAAUAUUAGUGUUUUUUAUCAUUCCUUCUCUAAAGUCAUAUUGGUCAGCAACUCACUGGGAAUGUGCCAUACUUUCAUCAGGUUGGGUCUGUUCCACCUGUGUUUGGACACACACAUCUCUCAUUCAAAAUGGCUUUGUUAUCGUGAAUAAAUACCUUCAUGGUUACGAAGAUGUAUUGACUGUUUUAAAGAUCAGGAAAUCUUCUCUCUGUUUGACACACACUUUGUAAAAUGAAUGUUUUGUUUUUGUUUUUGUUUUUUGUUUUUUCAACAACAUCAUCCUGUUAUCCCCAGAUGCAGGGAACAUUUUGACUUCUUCUAAAUCAGGAUGUUUAUGAUCUACUUAGUACUUGGUGAUUUCAAAGAAACAGAUUGAAUAGUUGAGUUUGAAUUCUUGGAGUUAGCCUGAUAAGAAAAGAGACAAGCAAAGACAAAGAGAUCCUAGAAAGACCAGGACAUAAGAAAAAAGAAGAAAAGUCUUUAAAUUUUAAGUGAGUGACGCUUCCAAAUAAUGUGUUGUGGUUUGUGAAAAGGAAAACAUGAAUCAUAAAUCUAUUGAGAUUAAGACUAAAGAAGACUUACAUAGAGUGAAUAGGUUAAAACUUUUGAAGGAUAUAAUAAACUUUCUACUAAACAUAUAUUUUUAAAAUUUUAUGUGCAUGGGUGAUUUUCCUUCAUGUAUAUCUAUGUAAGGGUGUCAGAUUCACUGGAACUAGUGUUACAAACAAUUGUGAGCUACCAUAUGGGUACUGGGAUUUGAACCCAGGUCCCCUGGAAGAGCAGAUAGUGCUCUUAAGCACUGAGCCAUCUCUCCAGCACCUAAAAGCAUAAUCCUUGAUACAUGUCCCCAAAUGUUUGGAGAAACAAGCAAAAAUAAAGAUAAAAAUAUUUGUAAUUUUUUUAUUAUCUACUCAGAUUGGACCUUGAGACUGUAGAUGCAUGAGACAUUUGUAUUUCAUCCAUAUAAACAAAGACAAGGGUAAAAUUCCCAAGCUAGAAUGAACAGAAUUCCACCAAGGUGAGGCUUGACUUUCAAUAUUUCCGUAUUGUCAUCGAAAAACACUGACGUUGUCUGGAGGUUGCUAUGGAUAUGUAAUAUACAUGUAAGAGUGUUACUUUCUAAACAAAAGUGAUGAUUAUAGGAUUUGAUGUAUUGGAUAUGAUUACAUUUUAUCUACAUUUUUAUAUUUUCUUAUACUUAACAAAAUGUUUUUUUUUCUCUGAGUGUCAUAAAGUCCUAAAUACAUUGCAUAAAUUUUCAUGUAGAAGAAGCAUAUUCCAGAGAGAUGGUGUUAUUUUAAGUACUUCCUUCUGCCCUAGUUCUGGAAAGCUGCCUUCAUGAUCUUCAGGCUAAAACAUUUCUAUCUGUCCUGAAAACACUGCAGUUCAUUUUAAGAGCAGCCUUCCUCUCCAAAAUGACAUGUCUCCUCAAAAACAGACCUUCUGUUUCCAUGACUUCUCUACUUACUCUUUAUGACUCUUAAUCUUAAAAUUAGAGUUAAUAAACAUUGGCUUCCUCUUUUCUCAGAGAAGUUAGAAGCCAGAGAAUGUCACUCAAGAAUGACAGGUCUAAGCCACUCAUUUCUUUAGUAAGCAAUGCCCAUAUUCCUCUAUUUCUUCGGCAAAUGAUGCCUAACAUGUUAGACAACGGGCAUGGUACUCUAUUCUAGGUCCAGUUUUGGGGUCAACUACCAUACUAUUAUUAACAAGCUUAGAAUAAAUUUAAGCAUAUAGAAGUAUUGAGAUCAUUUUUCUUUGCUAUUUAGUAUAUUAAAGUAUUGUCUGUUUUCUCUACUUUGUAUGUAUCAAAAUAGUGGAAUAGUACUUCUGGGUUUAACUACAUCACUAAUUAAAUUGUACUGCACAAGUCUGUCAAUCAAGGUGUAUGAUGGUAAUUUUUCCCAGGCUAAUAUUUUGGCCAAAUCUGGGCCCAUACUCUAAGACUGAGGAACAUGGUAUAUCCAUCCAGGUUAAACUUCACCUCACCUUCACUCCUGACAGACCCCUUUCCUCUGCUUUGGUCCUAGCUUGUAAUUGUGAACUCUUGCCAUUAGCCACCCACCAUGAGUCUGGAAUUCUAAGCCAGUGACCAUAUUUUAGAAUUUUGUUCUUAUACUUAUAUAGGAUUUUUUUUCAUUCUGAUGGCUAUUAAAAAAAAACUUAUUUGUAAAGAUUAGAAAAUGAAUGUCUAGUCUUCCAUGAAUCAUUCUUCCUUCAAAAUAAAGAUCCUCACUCACAGAAAUCAAAACC